rnacentral:rRNA from 1 species
UUAUGUGAUCGUCUCUCGCAUAUCAAUAAGCGGAGGAAAAGAAACUAACAAGGAUUCCCCUAGUAACGGCGAGUGAAGCGGGAAGAGCUCAAAUUUGAAAUCUUAAAGGGUUUCCCUUUACGAAUUGUAGUUUAAAGAAGUGUUUUCUGUUGAGGUUUUGGUAAAAGUUCUUUGGAAUAGGACAUCAUAGAGGGUGAGAAUCCCGUAUUUGACCUUUACUUUCAACUUUGUGAUACUACUUUCAAAGAGUCGGAUUGUUUGGGAAUGCAGUCCAAAAUGGGUGGUAAAUUUCAUCUAAAGCUAAAUAUUGGCGAGAGACCGAUAGCGAACAAGUACCGUGAGGGAAAGAUGAAAAGAACUUUGAAAAGAGAGUUAAACAGUACGUGAAAUUGUCAAAAGGGAAGCGUUUGACACCAGUGUUGUUUUUCUGAAAAUCAAUUAAAGAACUGUUUAUGCUAAGUUGUUUAGACUUUAUCAGCUAACUGUUUAGUUUUGAGCUUUUCUUUAAUGCACUUUUCAGUUAACAAGUCAACAUCAAUUUCUUUUGCUGUAAAAAAGCUUGAGGAAGGUGGCUUGAGAUUCGUCUUAAGUGUUUAUAGCCUCUUGCCUAUGCAGUCGGAGAGAUUGAGGUCUGCAGCGUAGAUCCUUCGGGGCUAAAUGCAUUUGUGCUAAGUUAUAGCAUUUUAUAGACAACUUGUUGACUAUGAUUUGUCUUGUAGCUUACUCGCUUAUGUUAUUUUACCUACGCUUAGGAUGUUGACUGAUAUGUAGUCGUA